rnacentral:rRNA from 1 species
ACGCUAGCUACAGGCUUAACACAUGCAAGUUGAGGGGCAGCAUGGUCUUAGCUUGCUAAGGCCGAUGGCGACCGGCGCACGGGUGAGUAACACGUAUCCAACCUGCCGUCUACUCUUGGACAGCCUUCUGAAAGGAAGAUUAAUACAAGAUGGCAUCAUGAGUCCGCAUGUUCACAUGAUUAAAGGUAUUCCGGUAGACGAUGGGGAUGCGUUCCAUUAGAUAGUAGGCGGGGUAACGGCCCACCUAGUCUUCGAUGGAUAGGGGUUCUGAGAGGAAGGUCCCCCACAUUGGAACUGAGACACGGUCCAAACUCCUACGGGAGGCAGCAGUGAGGAAUAUUGGUCAAUGGGCGAGAGCCUGAACCAGCCAAGUAGCGUGAAGGAUGACUGCCCUAUGGGUUGUAAACUUCUUUUAUAAAGGAAUAAAGUCGGGUAUGUAUACCCGUUUGCAUGUACUUUAUGAAUAAGGAUCGGCUAACUCCGUGCCAGCAGCCGCGGUAAUACGGAGGAUCCGAGCGUUAUCCGGAUUUAUUGGGUUUAGAGGGAGCGUAGAUGGAUGUUUAAGUCAGUUGUGAAAGUUUGCGGCUCAACCGUAAAAUUGCAGUUGAUACUGGAUAUCUUGAGUGCAGUUGAGGCAGGCGGAAUUCGUGGUGUAGCGGUGAAAUGCUUAGAUAUCACGAAGAACUCCGAUUG